CUUAAUGCGUUGCAGUGCAUAGUGGAGACACGGUGGCUUCCCGGCGCGCUUCCGUAGCGGGGGCGACGGGUAUUCUGCGAGGUUCGUUGAUCUCGACGAAGGCUUCGGGCAGGGGGUCCCAACCUGGGGUUACUUUCUGGGGGCCUCGGAGCAAUAUGAAAAUUUUGGCUUCGAAUUAAACUGAAUUUGAUCUCACCUACAGUGCCUAUAUUAAUAAAAUGGAAUCUUUCUACGGUGCUCUUGUCCUAUAGCUACUAACACCAUUACGCUUUUCAUAACAAGUAUUAACUGAAUCUGCAAAGAUGACAGACACUGAACGCGGCCACGAAGAUUAUUACAGAUUUGUCGGGUCCACAGAAUGAAAUAGGUUGGGAACCACAGGCUUAGAGGGUCUUGAAGACACGCCCGUGCACCGCCCAUGCCCCCACCGGCGCGACUCUCCGCGUGGCAACGCCCUCCGCAUAGUUAUCAUGCGGUACCUCGGGCUGGAAAGUUGCAUGACUGCAUGUGUGAGGGUUUGCCGUAACUCUGAUAGCCUUGGAACUGCAUGGCGUAGAUGGUCCCCGCGUCAGGCCAAUCGCUGCCCGCGUCAGGUGGCAAUUUCGACGGCGGUGACAUCGAUGGCGCCACGGCAGUCCCGAGAGCGAGAAGCGGCGGAGGGGCGGCUGUGGAGGCUGUAGCGGCGUCGGUGGAAGGCGGUGGUGGAGUGAGUCACGGCGGCGAAGGUGGAGUACUCCCGCGAGACGCGGCUCCGGGUGCUGGCCGUGGCAGGCGGGCUGAGGCAGCCAGUCUGCGGCGGGGCGACCCGGGGAGCAGACGGAUCGUCGACGGCACAGCGAGUGAGCGAGAGUGAGCGAGGGAGCGAACCAGUAGGAACGAAGGACGAGAGUGUGCAAGCGGCGAUCGACCGAAGCUCCUUAGUGAACAAUGCGGUAGAGAACAAUUUUGAAGCGUUUUGUGCAGGAUCCCCAGGCCGAGGAGGACGACGCCAGCCGGAGGAGGACAGAGAGAACAAGCCUCGAGGAAAAUCGAUCACGAGAGGGUUGUGUGCAUUGCGUGGCCUUUGCUGGUUGCUGGAUCGCCAACGCCAUACACGGUCGUGCAGGCCCAUGUGUCACAUCCCGACGCCCACCUAGAGACACUCGGCCUCGUCGUGGGCGCAGGCGGCGUACUCUCUCCACAGUGUUGUAAGUAAGGCUUACUCUCGUCGGUGUCACGCCCUUUGCCUU